GAUGAACGAUGGCGGCGUGCCUAAUACAUGCAAGUCGAGCGAACGGACGAGAAGCUUGCUUCUCUGAUGUUAGCGGCGGACGGGUGAGUAACACGUGGAUAACCUACCUAUAAGACUGGGAUAACUUCGGGAAACCGGAGCUAAUACCGGAUAAUAUUUUGAACCGCAUGGUUCAAAAGUGAAAGACGGUCUUGCUGUCACUUAUAGAUGGAUCCGCGCUGCAUUAGCUAGUUGGUAAGGUAACGGCUUACCAAGGCAACGAUGCAUAGCCGACCUGAGAGGGUGAUCGGCCACACUGGAACUUAGACACGGUCCAGACUCCUACGGGAGGCAGCAGUAGGGAAUCUUCCGCAAUGGGCGAAAGCCUGACGGAGCAACGCCGCGUGAGUGAUGAAGGUCUUCGGAUCGUAAAACUCUGUUAUUAGGGAAGAACAUAUGUGUAAGUAACUGUGCACAUCUUGACGGUACCUAAUCAGAAAGCCACGGCUAACUACGUG
rnacentral:rRNA from 1 species